rnacentral:rRNA from 1 species
UACGUAGGGGGCAAGCGUUUGUCCGGAAUUAUUGGGCGUAAAGAGCGUGUAGGCGGUCCGGUAAGUCGGCUGUGAAAGUCCAGGGCUCAACCCUGGGAUGCCGGUCGAUACUGCCGGACUAGAGUUCGGAAGAGGCGAGUGGAAUUCCCGGUGUAGCGGUGAAAAUGCGUAGAUAUGUGGAGGAACACCAGUGGCGAAGGCGACUUUCUGGACUGUAA